AAGGAUACUACCCUUUUUAAAAAGACUCUUAAUUGUUUUAUUUAUGUGUCUGCGUGCUGCAGUGUGUGUGUCGUGUGUGCAUGCGUGCAUGUGUGCGUGUGUGCAUGCCAUGCAUGUGUGCAUGCCAUGCAUAUGCAGGUAAUCUGAGGAAGCCAGAAGAGGAUGUUAGAGCCUUUGAAGCUAGAAUGAUGGAAGUUUUAAGAUUCCCAAAUGGGUGCGCUGGGAACUGAGCUUUGUCCUAAGGAGCAGGAAGUACUGAACUACAAAGACGUCUCUUCAGCCCCAAAGACAUUAUUUGUUUUUGUUUGAGACAGGGUCUUACUAUGUAGUGCCAGCUGGUCUGCAAAUUGCCAUGUAGACCAGGCUGGCCUUGAACUCAGAGAGAUUCUCUUGCCAAGUGCUGGGAUUAAAGGCCUACACCACCACUACUGGGCACCAAAGACCUUCCCAUAGAUGAUGGCAUUAAAGCCAGGCAUGAUGGUCAGCCCAGUCUAAAUAGUGAGUUCUAGGACAGCCAGGGCUACACUGAGAACCCCUAUCUCAAGAAGCAGCACAGCAAAAAAGUCAAAUGAAGUUAUUGCUACGGUUUGAAUGGCAUUUGUCUCCCCCGUAGACUGGUGUGUAGGGAAUUCAGUUGCCAGGCAGCAGUGUGUUGAGCCUUUAAAAGCUCCUCAGGUCACUAGGACAGGUUCUUGAAAGAGAAGGUGGAACCUCCAGCUGUUUCCUACCUGAAGAUGCUGCCACUCACCCCAACACGACUCUGCCAUUGUGAUGCACCACUCACCAUGACAACCUUACCAGAAACUGAACCAAUAGAGGUGCCAUGUCUUUUGGCCUCCAGCACCAUGAGCGUAAACCUCUCAGAAAGGAACUGCUUCCAGUAUGUCACUGUAGUAAAACAGUCAUAAAGAUCGAACCAUAACUCACAAGGGUCCAUUUCCCCUUCUUUCUCGAAGACCAUCCCAGAGUCCUAUACCACACCAGAGGAGGCAGCUGCAGAGCGCCACGGAGCCAGAGCUGACAGGCCUCGCUGACCCUUAGAUAAGGCCAUUUUGUGAUAUCAUCUCCACAUGGCUGUCCGUUACUCAUCCAACCAAAGCACAAAAACAGCUUCUCCUGGGUCUUUAUUUCAGAAGCCUCCUGCGUCGCAUGAAACUUUGAUUAAAUAAAUUCAUGAUGCUUUUCUCUUA